rfam:Cicer arietinum chromosome Ca3, whole genome shotgun sequence.
ACACCCUUACUUGAACAUGAUCUGUUCUAUAGCACCAUAGUACUGUGUCCUUAUAUUCUAAGAAGUCAGGAACCUAAAUAUGGUGGAUGGAUCAUGACUGUGAGAUCAGAGUGUGAUUAACGGUUUUGUGAUGGGAGCUUCAGUGACCUUUGCAGUUUGUUGUAAUUUAAGGAGUCAACAUCACUUGUGAUCUGGGGUGGUCACACGGUUGUUUAACAGAUU